CACAAUACACAAGGAAAGACCACUCAACAACACUACCAAAACGGAGAAACAACUCUAUGUUGCAAUACUACAUUCAUAUUAGUUUCCAAAUAAUAGUGUUAGCAAAAAUGUGACUUUAUUAGACUCAACCAAAAAGGUUGACUUUUAAAAAAAACAUAAAAUUAUUUUUAAAUUUAUAUUUAUAUUAUGUAAAACUUAUAGGUAGGAUAAACUAAUCCUAACUACAUAAGUAGAGUUGACUAAGUCAACGUUCAAUCGAUGUUAACUUUUUAAUAAAUAAAAAUAUUUGUGUUAUAGUAUGAUUAAUGUCGAUUUAGUUGACGUUUAUAGAGUUCACUUAAUGUUAGACAUUAUUAAUAUCGAUUUAUUCAAUUCUAAAUUGACACUAAGUGAAAUAAAUAUAAAAAAGUAAUUAGCGUUGACCUAUUUGACACUAAUGUUAUUUGUUUAAGUUAUCAUUGCUUAGAUAGACACUAUGUCUUUAAUAUUUAUUUAAGUUAGUGUCCACUAAGUUAAUGCUAAUUUAUAUGCUAUAAAUCCGUACAUGUUCAUGACAACAAAUAGGAACCGUAAAUGUUUUUAAUUCAAAGGUCCAUAUUUAAAGAUGACAAAUCUCUUCACUCACAAUUUUACACGCUCCUUUUUCUACAUAAAUCUUCUCACUCUCAUCUUUUUUCCAUCCACACUCAUCUCUUUCAUUCACACUUACCUUAUUCAUUCACACCUAUCUCCUUCAUGCACAUUCAUUUCCUUCAUCUACACUCAUCUCCUCCAUCUACUACAUUUUUUUGGUGUUUUAUUUUUGUUGAAGAUAGAAUCAUUGUAAGAGAAAUUACUUUUUGAAAUUGUUGUUAUUAGUGUCGACCACAUUGACAUAAAUUAAAUUAAUAUUAAACAAAUUUAAUUUAGUGUCAAAUUAAUCGAGAUUAAAUUAAAUAAACUAAAAGGCUUUAAUAAAAACAAUUAAAGUUGGCCUUAAAAAACUAAUGCUAGGGAAUUAGCAUUUUGACUUUAGAGCCAAAUGUGCGAUAUAAAUCCAAUACUAUUUACUAAUUAGAGUUAGCUUUUGGUUCCUGUAGUGCAAAUUAUUACUCAACAAGAAAGAUCAAAUAAGCUUGGUUGAUAAAUAGUGGAUGCAUAAACCACAUGACUCAUAAUGCUAACAUCUUAAAAGAGUUAGACAAGACAUACAUGUUCAAAGUCAUUGUAGGCAAUUGAAAGGUACUCUAAGCCUGAAGUUAGACUUUGACACUCGACAUUCAGUAUUUAGGAUUAGAUGAAUGCGUACUUGAUCCUUUGGAAUUUGUGCUUAUUUAUAUAAUUAUUGUGAGUCUAUUGUCGUUAAUGAGCCUAAUAAAAGGAGAUCAACAAACGCUGAGUCAUCGUUGUUGGUCAUGUCAGUUAAUUUGGACUAGAUGCAGAAUUAGAGUCUUGGUCAUACGGAACCUACUAGUACAUAUUUUUAAUUAAAUUUUUUUAUUUAGAAUAAAUAUAACCCAAUUUUAAGUAUUAAUAAAUUCAAACAAUAGUUAUAAGGUUAUAAUUUAAACUAUGUUUUUCAUAUUUUCAUGCAAUUAAAAUUAUAAUCUUAGAAUUGUUUUUAAAUGAUCAAUUAUUUAAGAAACUUUAUCUCAAUUUUUACUAAAAAUAAAAAAUUUACAAAAUAAAGAAUUUAGUCUGUUGUUAGUUGAUAGAGUUUAGCUAAUAAUCUUGGGUACUUCAUAGAAGAAUUGGAGUCUUUUCUUGGGCUUUUGAAGUUGGUUUGGAGACCAAACAAUGAUCAUUUACUAGCAAAAAAGAAGAUUGAAGCCAUGACAUAAUUUCAAAUAGAGUUAUUCCCAAAACAUUAAUAUUCUCUAAAAAAAAUUAAUUUAUCUUUUAAAAAUUUUAAUUGAAUAUUUUUUUAUUAAUUUAUCUUUUAAUGUAGUAUUUAAAAAAAUAUUUAUUUAAAGAUUUUUUAGAUACUGUUUACACAAAUAAUUUAUUAUUAUUUUAAAUGAUUUAUUUAUUUAUUUUAUAUUUUAUAUAUAAAUAAUAUAAAUGAUUAUUAAUAAUAAUAAAUUAAUUAUCAUUUUAAGAAAAUAUAUAAGUUGCUUUCCAAAUAGCGACUAGAAAAGACAUGACUCACAAAACUUUCAAGAAUUUUCCAUAUUCUUUAUUCUUUUCAAGAGUUGAACAUUUCCAUUUCAAAUGGACAUAAGUGAAAUGUGUAACUUAAGAAAUUUAUUAUUUUAAGAUUUUUAUCAGGACUUUUCAAAUGUCUUAAUUAUUUCCAAUAUAUUCACUCGAAUAACUUAAUAUAUAAGAAAAUAUUCUCCCAUCCAUAUUAAAAAUAUUAAUUAUUGGCAAUUAAUUGUAUUAAUCUUAUA
rnacentral:lncRNA from 1 species